rnacentral:lncRNA from 1 species
AGGAAAGAUGAUUACUUUUGAGGUCUCGUUUCUUAGUUAGACACAAUAUUAAUGAGAACUAACAGACAAUAAUGCCAAAGAAAGUAUAGGGGAUCUUAUUCGUUCGAUGCUUCGGCC